UCAGCGCCCUUUUUCCUCUCUCUCUCUAACAUUUGCUUUCUCUGGGAACUAGUGCUGUCUGUGUAGUGGUGGGUCUCUUCUCUGAAGAAAAGGAAAAGGGUCGUUUAUUUGAAGACUGAUUAGGACUAAAGAUUGAAUUUUUAUGUGUAAAAAAAUUGGCAAAAAAUAGAUUAUGAUGGAUCCACAUCUCAAUGGGUUUUGUGGUUCCACAAAUGAGAUCCGGUUUGGGAAUCAAUCUUUGCCUGUUCUUCAGAAUCAGAGAUUUGAAAAUGGUUUCUUUGAUCAAAUUGGUUCCGAUUUGGUGCCAGCUGAUUAUACACCAUCUUCGACAAUAACGUCAGUUUCGACUCACGAGGAACCGUCUCCGGAUGACUGUGAAUUUUCUGAUGCGGUUUUGAAUUACAUUAAUAACAUCCUUAUGGAAGAAGAUAUGGAAGAUAAGACAUGUAUGCUUCAAGAUUCUUUAGAUCUUCAAAUUGCUGAGAAAUCGUUCUAUGAAGUAAUAGGCGAAAAGUACCCGGUUUCGGUUUCGCCAUUAGGACAACUUACAAGUCUUUGUAAUCAAAAUGAGUAUGUUGGAGAUAGUAACUUCUUUGAUGAUUAUGGUACUCGUGUUGAUGAUGGUGAUCUUAGUUGCAUAUUUACAAAUAAUUCUUUGCGCGGAAACUCGAGAGAUGUUAAAUUUCCUCAUCCCGAUUUUCAAGGAAAUAGUGUUUCACAAUCGUCUUAUAGUUCUACAAAUAGCGUAAAAAGUACCGUGGAAGGGCUUUUGGAUUCUCCGGACAGUAUUUUACAUGUUUCUGAUCAGAAUAGCGGGAGUCAACCGAUUUUGCAAUUUCAAAAGGGCGUUGAGGAGGCUAAUAAGUUUCUUCCUAGUGGAAAUGGCCUCUUUCAAAAUUUCGAUGUUGCUAAGUUUUCGAUACUAGAGCCUGAAGUGGCGAAACAUGAAUUAUCAGUUAAGGUGGUGAAGAGUGAGAGAGAGUCCUUUCUUUCUAAGGGAAGGAAGCAUCAUUACGACGAUGAGGGAGAUGUCGAAGAAAAUAGAAGCAGCAAGCAAGCGGCGAUUUACUCAGAACCUAUGUUGAGGUCAAAUCUGAUGGAUGCGAUCCUGCUUCAUAGUUUAGGAGAUGGUAAGAAGCAUUUUACGGCUCGUCGCGAGGCAUUGCAAACUAAGAACAAUAUGGUGCCAAGUAAUAAAUCGAAAGCUCGUACUAGUGGAAAAGGACGAGGUAAAGGUAAAAAACAAAACGGAAAAAAGGAAGUGAUUGAUUUGAGAACACUGCUUGUUCUUUGUGCACAAGCUGUUGCAGCAGACGACCAUAAAAGUGCGCACGAAUUGCUAAAGCGGAUCAGGCAGCACUCGAACCCUUUCGGAGAUGGAAAUCAGCGGUUGGCUCAUAUAUUUGCCGAUGGCCUUGAGGCACGUUUGGCUGGUACUGGAAGCCAAAUUUAUAAAGGACUAAUCAGUAAAAGAACAUCUGCUGCCAAUUAUCUGAAAGCUUAUCAUCUGUACCUUGCCGCUUGCCCUUUUCGAAAGAUGACUAGUUUCGUCUCAAAUGUUACUAUAAUGGACUCUGCGGCAAGUUCAACGAGGGUCCAUAUUGUAGAUUUCGGCAUCCUCUAUGGCUUCCAAUGGCCUACCUUUAUACAAAGACUUUCGUUACGUUUGGGAGGACCACCAAAGCUUCGGAUUACAGGAAUAGACUUUCCACAACCCGGUUUCAGGCCUGCAGAGAGAAUUAUAGAGACCGGUUCGCGCUUGGCAGCAUAUGCUGAAACUUUUAAAGUUCCAUUUGAGUAUAAUGCCAUAGCGAAAAAGUGGGAGACCAUUCAGCUCGAGGAACUCAAGAUCGACAAAGACGAAUACCUUGUUGUAACCUGUUUUUAUCGCGGUAAAAACUUGCUGGAUGAAUCCGUCGUAGUUGACAGUCCAAGGAACAAAUUCCUCAAUUUGGUAAGGAGGAUCAAGCCUGAUAUCUUCAUUCAUGGCAUUAUGAACGGAGCCUUUAACGCGCCUUUCUUUGUCACUCGGUUCAGAGAGUCGUUGUUUCACUUCUCUUCACUUUUCGAUAUGCUAGAAAGUAUUGUGCCUCGCGAGGAUUGGGAAAGGAUGCUAAUUGAGAAAGAGAUAUUCGGGAAGGAAGCAUUGAAUGUUAUAGCUUGUGAAGGUUGUGAGAGAGUAGAGAGACCAGAGACAUAUAGGCAGUGGCAAGUUCGUAUUCUCCGAGCCGGGUUUUCACAACAGACUUUCGGCAAAAACACCGUAGAAAGGGCGGUGGAGAAAGUAAGGUCUAGCUACCACAAAGACUUUGUCAUCGACGAAGAUAGCAAGUGGUUAUUGCAAGGUUGGAAAGGGAGAAUCGUGUACGCGCUUUCUUGUUGGAAACCUGCUUGACUAAGACGGUUCAAUUCAAGUACACCUUACUAGCGCUUUGUGAAUUAGUUUUUGACAUAUGAGGAAAUCAGAUCCUUCUCUCAGAUUUCAGAUCCUUCUCUCAACAUGAAUAGUGGAAGCAACAAACUUAUCCACGAGAUUCAGGUUACAAAGGGGGUUAUUGAUAUGGUGGAGUUAUGGUUGAACAAAGUCAAGGAAGCUGAAGUUGUUAUGGAUCACAUUAGUGUUGUUGAACCGUCUGGUGGAACAGACUAUAAGAAGAUUCUUUUCAAGAAUCUUAACCUUGAAAAGAUGAAGAAGGUAGAUGCUAUUAUGAAUGACCUAAUGAAUCUGGAUAUAUUUGAUUCUGAAUUAGAUGAAGGCCUUUAGAACUAUGAAGACCUUGAGGACUGGAAGAAUUCAACUAGACAUGAAGAUUGAAGACCUUGUUAUGUUUCACAUGAUUUGUUGAUGGUUGGUGUUAUUGACAAGUUUGUGUAUGUUGUGGUUGUUGUUGCUUGUUAUGAUACAAUGCACUGCUUGUUAUGUUUCACAUGAUUUGUUGUUGGUUGUUGUUGACAAGUUUUUGUAUGUUGUAGUUGUUGUUGCUUCAUCCGUCUUGUAUUUUUUCUUCAUGGCAACACAAAGUAGAUCAACUUCAGAUUAUUCCACGAAUCUUUUCAAUAAAAGGUAUAUUGUUGUUGAUCAA